rnacentral:rRNA from 1 species
UCAAAUGACUCUCGGCAAUGGAUAUCUCGGCUCUUGCAUCGAUGAAGAACGUAGUGAAAUGCGAUACUUGGUGUGAAUUGCAGAAUCUCGUGAACCAUUGAGUCUUUGAACGCAAGUUGUGCCAGCGGCCUUGUGGUCGAGGGCACGCCUGCUUGGGCGUCAUG